UACGUAGGGGGCUAGCGUUGUCCGGAAUCAUUGGGCGUAAAGAGCGUGUAGGCGGCUUGGUAAGUCCGCUGUGAAAGUCCAGGGCUUAACCCUGGAAAGCCAGUGGAAACUGUCAAGCUAGAGUCCGGAAGAGGUGAGUGGAACUCCUGGUGUAGCGGUGAAAUGCGCAGAUAUCAGGAAGAACACCAAUGGCGAAGGCGGCUCACUGGGACGGUACUGACGCUGAGACGCGAAAGCGUGGGGAGCAAACAGG
rnacentral:rRNA from 1 species